rnacentral:rRNA from 1 species
CUCAUUAAAUCAGUUAUAGUUUAUUUGAUGGUCUCUUUUUGUCUCUUUUUACCUACUUGGAUAACCGUGGUAAUUCUAGAGCUAAUACAUGCGCAAGGUCCCGAGCGCGGGGGGCGAGGGCUUCACGGCCCUGUCCUCGCAUGCGCAGAGAGAUGUAUUUAUUAGGUUAAAACAACCAGCAUCUUUUUCAUUUCUGGUGAUUCAUAGUAACUCUUUCGGAUCGCAUUCAUG